UGCAAGUCUUUUUAAAGUGAAUACAAAAUAUUAAUAUUUAUUUCGGGGGCGAAAUAUUUACGGUUUCUGACUUAUGCAGUGAAUAAUAAGAUUCAUAAGAAGGAAUAGAGUUGAUGAAAUCUUUAAUUUAUUUCAUCUAAUGGUUGUUUAAUGUUUUCUUGUCUAAUACAAAAUGGCCCCGGCGCGACGAUCCAUAGGAAGAGUUGUUAUGUUCCUUUUGUUUUUUAGUGGUCCACUAAUACGAAAAAAAUAAUGUGUUUUUGAAAAACUUUUUGUAGACUAAAACUUUCAUUCCUUCAGAGUUACAUAAUUAGUAAUGUCUUGUCAUUUGUCUCCUUGAGUUUUCAUUAGUACUGUAGUUACGAGACUUGGAAACAACUGUAGUAUAUGAAACAUGAUGUUUUCAAGUCAAAAUUUGCCAAUGCAUAGAAUUCAUUGAAUAACUUGUUUUGUUGGUCACUGUUUAUUUACAAAUUGCAUUUAUUUGGAAAUGGACACAAUCCUAACUUUUGUGUCUUAGCUGAUACAGUUAUGGCCUGCAAUUGACAUAGUCCUCUCUUUUAGCACAUCUUAAUUUUUUUACAUUCAGGGCCCAACUCUCAUUGUUUCUUAAUAUCUUCUUUGGUUUCCUUGCAGUUCCGCCUUCUUGUAUUUCUAAACUUCCAGCCACAUCCAGUCUAUCUUGUAAAAUAUCUUCCAAAUCUGAGGAAGAAUGCUGUUCUGAUGGACAAUAUUUGGACCCUGAAUCUGUGAAGAUUUAUUAUUAAGAUUAUCAAAUCAGAACCAAAAAUCACUAAAAAAUAUAAUUAUAUUUUUUAGUAAAACAUUUAACAUCAAAACAAGCAUGAUAAUCCUUAAUUUGCUGUACUUACACCACAGAAAGAGAACAAUUAAACAAUAAAAGUAUGUUUGUAGAAACUUGUUAACAAAGUUUUAGAGUUGAAAAAGUGAGCCGUUUUGAAAAUUGACAGCAGCUGUUAGCCUAUCCCGCUAAAACUAUGUGUUACCAGUACUGCUCAUAAUCAUAACCAUGUCUUGUUGAUAGGUUUCUACUUGGUAUAAAAAAAGCCUUUUUCAUUGAUCUCUCUUACUUUCCCUUAUCCACACCUAAGUUGAGACCAAUUUCAUCAAGUCCCUGUAUAAAUUCUUCAAGUAGCCUCUCUGAUUUCAUUUGCUAAUUCAGAUUGUCAUUUCUAUAUUUGAGUAUAUUUAUUUAUAUUUUAUUAGGACUUAUUAAAAAAUACUUGAAUCUAUACAAUUACACAUUAUUAGAUGUACAACUUAUUAAAAUGAUGUCUAUCAUUUAAUAAAACAUCAUUUACAUAAGUUUAAUACUUAUUAUAUACAACAAAAUUAGGUAAACUAUGAAUAUAGGUAUAGACCAGUAUUAUUAUUAGUUGUUACAAUUUAAGGCCAUAAAAAUCUUAUUGCUAGUUUUUUAAAUUUGGGUAAUGUCAUGAAAUAUAUUUUAUAAUUGAAGGGUCUAUAAUGCACCAUAAGAAACAGUUGUCACCAGUCUCAUAUUAUUUGUUUUGGUGUAGGCUACAUAUCAGAUAGCACAGAGAAUCAGACUACAUCUUCAGACUUUUGGAAUCUAUUAGCAUUUUGUUCCACUUAAAUAUAUUUUUCCCAAUUAUUAUAUGUUGGCAACACCUAAAUUUGUCUUUCACCAAAUCUAAUGAUGUUAUUGUUUUGAUUCAUUGUUCGCAAAACUUUGCUUAUGGAUAAUUUAUUGAUUUUGAUCAAUAUUUCAAUAUUUGGAUUAAGGCUACUUUGCAAUUCCCUAUUCAACUUGACGAUAAAGUCAGACACACAUUUCUUUGAUUAUAUUUGUGACAUAUUCAUUCAAAAUAAGUUUAUGAGCAUCAGUUUCAAAAGCAUACCCAAGCGUAGUGUAGAGGUAUAUCGACGGUUAAAAGCGACACUGAGUGGGUUAAAAAAAAGGUAAUGAGGUACUUCCACACAUCAAGAUUUCCAUACCAAAAGGAACACGAGAACAUCCAACAUACGGCAUUACCUGGGCAAAUUGUAACGUGGACUAAAUGUCACGUCUUAAAAAUAAUAGAUACACAACCAACAUGAUUCUUCUUUAAUAUUUAAUAUAAGACUUAAGUAAUUGCAUACAUUUAAAGUGUUAGUGUUACCCAUCAUCAUCAUUGUUUGUACUAGAUUACCUGCCUACAUUACUAUUUUAUAAUUAUGCUCCGACCUAAUUGUUGAUGUGAUUAAAUGAAAAGAAAAAUACGGUUUUAGACUUUUUAUUAAAAAAAAAACACAAUUAUAAAAGAAAAAUAGUUUUCACAAAAAAAUACAAAAACCACUAACAAAGUGUGGUAGUUACCACAUCAAAAUAAAGGGUAGGAAAGUUAAAGGAACUACUAUUACUUUGGGGUAAAGGAACUAUUAUUACUUAGUGGUCUUUUAGACGAUAAAUCUUAUCGUAAAAGCACUUCAAACAAAUCGACUGCAUAGCAACAGGUCAAUUGUUUACAAUGUGUUACUUAACAGGCUAAUUGAGAUCAAUAUUAAAAUCAAAUAAUAUAUAUUAAUCAGUCUUAAUUAGGUAUCUCCUGAAGAUUAAUUUAAGUAGGUCUUAAGGACGCAAAAACCUUAAGAAAAAAAGUGCACAAUCAUCACAAAAUAGAUAAGUUGACUAUUGGUCAACAUUAUCUUCGAUGUCAGUAUCGGGCAAAGUAUCUUUCACCUUUUUGUUGAAAGUUAAAGAUUGCCAUUGACUCUGCCUGAAACUGUUGAGGUAUAACUUGGUCUGAGCAAAGCUUCAAUAAAUCUUUAUGUUUAUUUUCAGUAAUUGGAAGGGGUGUAGGAUAGCAGUCUGGUAAUUCCAGAAACUUUGUUUUGGACGCGACUUCAAUACGGGACACAGGUGUCUCCGGAUCCAUGGAGAAUUUAACCGUUGCUGAUGUACGGUUCUUUUUAAAAGUGGCGACCCGUAUUUUACUUAUUUUACCCACAAGAUUUCCCACGAAAUACUUGUCAGCGAGUAGGUCCCAUCUCUUAAAAUCCUUGUGAGUUAAACGCUCAACAUCAAAGGGCUUUGGUUUUUGUCGUGCCGUUUGGAAUACCGUAUACCAUUGAGAAGGAGCCCAAAUAGUGGUAUUUUUAACCUGGUUUUCAAUCGUCUCAUGUGCCGAAUCGACGGUCAUGUAGGUAUGACCGGUAAGUAAGAAAUUUAUUUAAAUAGAUUCAAUAAUUCUGCAACGUUGGAGAGUCUCGUUCAGCAUUGCAAGAACAAUUUUGUUCCGAUUUUGACCGGGACAGCAGUCACAAUAAAGAAGAAGUCGUCUUAUAUUCCCGCGUUCGUCAAGCUUCGUUAUGUAUUUGCUUAAUAUUGUAGCCAUCUCAUUGGCACCGCGGUUACCCUGGCUUUCGUCCCAAUAAUAGCAAUAAACAUUGCGAGUACCAUUUUCGUAAAUAACUGCAUUUUAAACGGCCAGCUUGCGUGUAUAAAACAAUAACAUGCUAUCACCAUACGGUGUGUUCAAGACUUUUUGUAAGUCAAAACUAAUGCAAAUGGAUGCUGAGUCUUGUAAAUGAAUAGUUUUGUGCAUCUUGUAGCGAUUGUAUGUAUGGUCUUUCUCAAUAAGGUGUACUUCGUGAGCUAGUCGUUGUUCUGGUGUAAGAUCAGUUUUAUUUUCGUACUGACAACAUUUCAGGCAUUUGUCUUUUUUCGGGAUAUGGAAUGCUAUAUUAAAGUUUUCAUUGAAAACUUUUCGGAACAUGGCCUCCGAAACAAACGUCAGUCCUUGACAGAUACGAUGUUCUUUAUACUUUCUAUAUAAAUUGGCCAAGUUUUUGUAUUCUGCUGGAAGGUAUGUUCGAGUACUAUCCUUCCUACAAUAAUGAGAAGGAACCGCUGGUAAACAUUUUAUAUAGUUUUCAACCGCUGCCAUUUCAUCGUUACUGGUUUUGUUGGGGGGUACACCUUUACCCCUAUCAGAUUCUUUGGCACUACCAAACUCAUCGGCAGUCGAAACCGUGUAGUAAACUUUAGCAGUAGCAACUUCUCCAUUUGUUUUAAUGUAACUCUGACCAGAUAACCGUUUUUGGGCAGCUUGUUUUCUCUUAUUUUUAGGAACUCUUCUUCGACAAACUCUUUUUCGACGUCAAGAGUGACUUGCUUCCUUUUCUUGCCGUUUCGUUCCGGCUCCCACUCAUCUGAGCUUCCUGCAUCGCCAAAGGCGUUUAGCAAAGCUAUCUCUUCGUCUGACAUAUAAUCUAAAUAAGAUGGUUUCUUUCCUGGACGGGUGAUUCUAAAUGAGGAGGAUUGAGUGUUGUUAGCGUCGGUUCCCGAAGAUGUACCUGGAAGAACUUCCAACGGUUGUAGGGAAACAUAAGAGCGAACGAAGAUCGGCUCGGAAUUUGGAAUACUUGAUACUUAGCUGGACAAUACCAUUGUAGGUGAAUCAUUACUGUUGAGUUUAGUCGCAAAGGAUGUGCUAGGAACAUCUCGGAGCGAUAUUCCAAAGAGAUUUGACUCGGUGAUUGGCGGCGUGGAGUUCCAGCAGGCAGCAGACGCAGUGUGGGGCACGGAACUUGUGAGGAUGGCAGACGCAGCAUACAGCGCGGAGCUCGUGAGGAUGGCAGACGCAGCGUCGGGCUUGGAGCUCGGGAGCACGGCAGACGCAGCAUACAGCGCGGAGCUCGUGAGGAUGGCAGACGCAGCGUCCAGCGCGGAGUUCGUGAGGAUGGCAGACGGAGUAUCAGGCGCGGAGCUCGUGAGGAUGGCAGACGCAGCGUCCAGCGCGGAGCUCGUGAGGAUGGCAGACGCAGCGUCCAGCGCGGAGUUCGUGAGGAUGGCAGACGCAGUAUCAGGCGCGGAGCUCGUGAGGAUGGCAGACGCAGCGUCCAGCGCGGAGCUCGUGAGGAUGGCAUUCGCUUCAUCCAUCGGGGAGCUCGUGAGGAUGGCAGAUGCAGGGUCCAGCGCGGAGCUCGUGAUGAUGGCAUUCGCUUUAUCUGUCGGGGAGCUCGUGAGGAAGGCAGAUGCAGGAUCCAGCGCGGAGCUCGUGAUGAUGGCAGACGUUUCAUCCGGCGCGGAGCUCGUGAGGAUGGCAGACUUCUGGAAAAAAGGUACCGCAGAACAAAGAAGAGUGGAAAGAAAUAGAAUUAGGCUUCAGAACAAGGUGGAAUUUCCCUGGUUGCCACGGCGCUAUAGACGGGAAGCAUUUUAAUUACAAGGGUUCCAACAGUGUGGUUAUGAUGGUUGUGGUGGAUCAUGACUAUUGUUUUCGAUAUGUAAAUAUUGGGGCUAAUGGAAGAAAUUCAGAUGGGGGGAUAUUCAAAAACAGCAAAUUACGUAGUGAUCUUGAGAAUAAUUUGCUUCCAAAAGGAGGAUUUUUAGUUGGAGAUGAUGCGUUUCCACUAAAAUCAUAUUUAUUAAAACCAUACAGUGGCACAAAUCUUUCAACGAAACAAAAAAUAUUCAAUUACAGAGUCUCUAGAGCACGGAGAAUCGUCGAAAAUGCAUUUGGUAUUCUGGCAAGCAGGUUGAGAAUUUUUCAAAAACCCAUACCAACUAAUGACGAAACCACCGAUAAAGUUAUUCGCGCCUCAUGUGCGCAGGCACAAUUGGUUACGUCUCACAAGUCUCGGCCAUUACUUUCAUGGGGUUGUGUUGAUGAAGAAGAUAUAGAUUCAGGAUCCUUUUCUGAGGGGAGUUGGAGGCGAGAACUUAUAGCUACUUUGCCAACUAUCACUGAUCACAGCACCAACAAUGCAGCACGUACAGCAAGGGAGCUUCGAGAUAAAUAUGCAGAGUUCUUCAGUGGGGCAGGUGCCGUAUCGUGGCAAAACAGAAUGAUUUCAUAAUUUUAUUUAAGAAAUAGGGAAAACUAGGGAAACUUCAUCUCUAAGCGACAUAUUUUAACGAUGUUAUAGAUAUUUUAAUCGGUAAUAACAGUAGAAAUCUCCCAAAUGUACGGUGAACUGGUAUUUUUUCAUGGUAAUUCGGCCGAAAACUACUCUCCCUGAUAUUAUAUCAGGAAGAGUUGAUUAUUUAUUAAUUUAUGACCGGAAAUAUAAUAAUAACUUGGCCUCUUUCGAAUGUUUGAUAAAUAUUGAAAUUAUAAACCGGGAAGUAUAAUACAGUCAACGACGGUAAAAAAUAUAAUAAAUUAGCGAUAAAAAUAAAAAUAGGGAAUCAAGUGUCCCCAGUCUCCCUUAUCUACAUUAUAACAUAAAAAGUAACAAUAAAAAAUAAAGUAAAGUAUGCAUUUAUUCAUGACAUCACAAAACAUAUAUACAUAGUUAAAUUAACAAAUAAAAAAAUACGGGGUCAUGAAAAGGACACCCACUCAGUAUUUUUGGAAAUGAUUUCCAGUACUGAUUUUCAGUAGGUACCUACCAAGUCGACUCGU